rnacentral:rRNA from 1 species
AGUGAACGCUGGCGGUAGGCCUAACACAUGCAAGUCGAACGGCAGCACAGGAGAGCUUGCUCUCUGGGUGGCGAGUGGCGGACGGGUGAGGAAUACAUCGGAAUCUACUCUGUCGUGGGGGAUAACGUAGGGAAACUUACGCUAAUACCGCAUACGACCUACGGGUGAAAGCAGGGGACCUUCGGGCCUUGCGCGAUUGAAUGAGCCGAUGUCGGAUUAGCUAGUUGGCGGGGUAAAGGCCCACCAAGGCGACGAUCCGUAGCUGGUCUGAGGGGAUGGUCAGCCCACAUGGAAAUGAGAAAAGGUCCAGACUCCUACGGGAGGCAGCAGUGGGGAAUAUUGGACAAUGGGCGCAAGCCUGAUCCAGCCAUACCGCGUGGGUGAAGAAGGCCUUCGGGUUGUAAAGCCCUUUUGUUGGGAAAGAAAUCCAGCUGGCUAAUACCCGGUUGGGAUGACGGUACCCAAAGAAUAAGCACCGGCUAACCUCGUGCCAGCCGCCGCAGUAA